UGGACAGAUUAUUAUAUUCGGCUGUAUUCACGGCGUGAAACAGGGGAAUACACUGUUUUUAAACGGAAAGUGAAUCAAUUAACAUAAUAGACUCUU
rnacentral:pre_miRNA from 1 species